rnacentral:rRNA from 1 species
UGGGGAAUUUGGACAGGAGCGACCGCAGAUGCCGCGUGUGUGAAGAAGGCCUUCGGGUUGUAAAGCACUUUUGUCCGGAAAGAAAUCCUUGGCUCUAAUACAGUCGGGGGAUGACGGUACCGGAAGAAUAAGCACCGGCUAACUACGUGCCAGCAGCCGCGGUAAUACGUAGGGUGCAAGCGUUAAUCGGAAUUACUGGGCGUAAAGCGUGCGCAGGCGGUUUGCUAAGACCGAUGUGAAAUCCCCGGGCUCAACCUGGGAACUGCAUUGGUGACUGGCAGGCUAGAGUAUGGCAGAGGGGGGUAGAAUUCCACGUGUAGCAGUGAAAUGCGUAGAGAUGUGGAGGAAUACCGAUGGCGAAGGCAGCCCCCUGGGCCAAUACUGACGCUCAUGCACGAAAGCGUGGGGAGCAAACAGGAUUAGAUACCCUGGUAGUCCACGCCCUAAACGAUGUCAACUAGUUGUUGGGGAUUCAUUUCCUUAGUAACGUAGCUAACGCGUGAAGUUGACCGCCU